rnacentral:rRNA from 1 species
UCCGGGGGGAGCAAGCGUUGUUCGGAUUUACUGGGCGUAAAGGGCGCGUAGGCGGCCACGACAAGUCAGUUGUGAAAUCUCUGGGCUUAACUCAGAACGGUCAACUGAUACUGUCGGGCUAGAGUGCAGAAGGGGCAACUGGAAUUCUCGGUGUAGCGGUGAAAUGCGUAGAUAUCGAGAGGAACACCUGCGGCGAAGGCGGGUUGCUGGGCUGAUACUGACGCUGAGGCGCGAAAGCCAGGGGAGCGAACAGG